rnacentral:rRNA from 1 species
AACGGGGGGGGCAAGCGUUAAUCGGAAUUACUGGGCGUAAAGCGUGCGCAGGCGGUGAUGUAAGACAGUUGUGAAAUCCCCGGGCUCAACCUGGGAACUGCAUCUGUGACUGCAUUGCUGGAGUGCGGCAGAGGGGGAUGGAAUUCCGCGUGUAGCAGUGAAAUGCGUAGAUAUGCGGAGGAACACCGAUGGCGAAGGCAAUCCCCUGGGCCUGCACUGACGCUCAUGCACGAAAGCGUGGGGAGCAAACAGG